CUUGUCUGAAAUGACAAAAUAUAAUAAGUAAGUGGCAAAAGUACACACAGUUUCAGAUCAAGUUACCCAAAACCAGUACCAAUAAACGGAACUUGCUAGGGCCUCGCCGGGCGCCGAGUCGUCUACGAUAAUAAACAACGCAUGAGUCCUGUUUAUACUGGUUUUGGGAAGCUUGAUCUGUGGCCGUGUGUACAAAUCUGAUAUUAGUUGGAAAUUUAACUGCAUUCGAUUAAAGGCCCUCCUUAAUUCACACAUGUUGUCAACUUUACACUGUCUCAUGAAGCAUUAGAUAAAUCAAGCAAUAUAUAUAUACCUAUACAGAGUGGAAAAAUAAGGCCGCAGUUGAAGGAAAAGUACCCUUAGGCGCAACGCAAACGGCGGGCCGGCGCAGGCCGGUCAAUUUCGCCGCGAACGAUAGCGCAAAGUGAAUCUUAUACUAGACGCAGACGGCGCGGCCGGGGCGGCGCGGCGCAGACAUCGACGAAAUAAUUCAUUUUUUACAAAAAUAAUUAGAACUUCAUUUAAGGAUUUUUGGAAAAACACCGGAUUGAAUCGGGCAAUUUGUUUAUUUGUUACAGUAAAAUUUGCCAUCAUCAAAAUUAAGGUGAAAACUUCCGGAAGUCACUAGCGCUAUAUUUGGCAACUGGUAAUACAUUCACUGAUCUACACUAUUCCUAUGUGAUUGGAAUUGCAACAAUUAGCGAAAUAGUAAGACAAGUUUGUUACAUAAUAUGGAUUGAACUAAAGUCUGAAUGUAUUCCACAGCUUAAUGGGAUCAAAUGGAAAGAAAUCGCAGAGGGAUUUCUCACAUAUACAAAUUUUCCUAAUUGCUUGGGUGCAAUUGAUGGAAAACAUAUAAGAGUGAUUCGGCCGCCGCACAGUGGAUCACUAUAUUUUAAUUAUAAGAAAUAUUAUUCUGUAGUGCUCCUCGCAAUGUGUGAUGCUGAUUAUAAUUUUACAUAUAUUAAUGUCGGUACCAGUGGAAGCAACGCCGAUUCAACCAUCUUUAGAAGGAGUCAAUUGUAUACGAAACUGGAAAGUAACACGUUGGGUAUCCCUGACCCGCAAGAGUUGCCUAUUAUUUGCCCCGAAGUAGCUUAUCCAUCUAGUGUAAGAGCAAAGUUGCCGUUCGUGAUAGUGGGAGACGAGGCAUUUGGUUUAUCAUCACAUGUGAUGCGGCCUUAUGCUCGUGAUAAUUUACCUUACAAAAAGAAAAUAUUUAAUUACCGUCUGUCCAGAGCUAGAAGGUACAUAGAAUGCACUUUUGGAAUUAUGUCAAAUAAAUUUAGAAUAUUUCACAGAUCCAUGAAUGUCAAGUUAGAUCUAGCACAAUUAAUAGUCAAGACGGCAUGUGUACUUCACAAUUUCAUAAGGAAACGGGAUGGCUACAAGGUCAGCCAUACAUUUGUCACAAAUGGUUUUACGGGACCACUACCCAGGCAGCAGACUGAAAGUAGUAAUACGUCGGCAAGUAAUAUCAGAGAUAUAUUUGCAGAUUACUUUAUCAAUGAAGGAAAAGUCUCCUGGCAACACCGAUAUAUAAUUAAUUAACUAAACUCAAAAGGUUUUAGAAGGUUUUUGAUGUUAUUUGUGAAUUAAAUAAUUAUGCUUAUAUUAAUAAAGUAAUGAUGCUUGUAUAAAUAAAAUAAUGAACCAAACACAUA